CUUUUGGGUCCUAUAAUUGGAAUGAGUACAAUUUAAAUCCGUUAACGAGGAACAAUUGGAGGGCAAGUCUGGUGCCAGCAGCCGCGGUAAUUCCAGCUCCAAUAGCGUAUAUUAAAGUUGUUGCAGUUAAAAAGCUCGUAGUUGAACUUCAGACCUGACCGGGCGGUCCGCCUAACGGUGUGUACUGUCUGGCCGGGCCUUACCUCUUGGUGAGCCGGCAUGCCCUUCACUGGGUGUGUCGGGGAACCAGGACCUUUACCUUGAGAAAAUUAGAGUGUUCAAAGCAGGCUUACGCCGGAAUACAUUAGCAUGGAAUAAUAAAAUAGGACGUGCGGUUCUAUUUUGUUGGUUUCUAGAGUCGCCGUAAUGAUUAAUAGGGAUAGUUGGGGGCAUUUGUAUUGCGUUGCUAGAGGUGAAAUUCUUGGAUUUACGCAAGACAAACUAUUGCGAAAGCAUUUGCCAAGGAUGUUUUCAUUAAUCAAGAACGAAGGUUAGGGGAUCGAAAACGAUCAGAUACCUUUGUAGUCUUAACAGUAAACUAUGCCGACUAGGGAUCGGACGACCUCAAUAUUAUGCGUCGUUCGGCACCUUACGAGAAAUCAAAUUCUUUGGGUUCUGGGGGGAGUAUGGUCGCAAGGCUGAAACUUAAAGGAAUUGACGGAAGGGCACCACCAGGAGUGGAGCCUGCGGCUUAAUUUGACCCAACACGGGGAAACUCACCAGGUCCAGACAUAACUAGGAUUGACAGAUUGAUAGCUCUUUCUUGAUUUUAUGGGUGGUGGUGCAUGGCCGUUCUUAGUUGGUGGAGUGAUUUGUCUGGUUAAUUCCGAUAACGAACGAGACCUUAACCUGCUAAAUAGCCUGGCCGGCUUUUGCUGGUCACUGGCUUCUUAGAGGGACUGUCAGCGUCUAGCUGACGGAAGUUUGAGGCAAUAACAGGUCUGUGAUGCCCUUAGAUGUUCUGGCCGCACGCGCGCUACACUGACAGAGCCAGCGAGUUUUUUUUCCUUGGCCGGAAGGUCAUGGGUAAUCUUGUGAAACUCUGUCGUGCUGGGGAUAGAGCAUUGCAAUUAUUGCUCUUCAACGAGGAAUUCCUAGUAAGCGUGAGUCAUCAGCUCGCGUUGAUUACGUCCCUGCCCUUUGUACACACCGCCCGUCGCUACUACCGAUUGAAUGGCUUAGUGAGACCUCCGGAUUGGCUUUGGGGAGUCGGCAACGACACCCCGUUGCUGAAAAGUUGGUCAAACUUGGUCAUUUAGAGGAAGUAAAAGUC
rnacentral:rRNA from 1 species